rnacentral:lncRNA from 1 species
CCCCAUUGCCAUCCCUAAAGAGAAGGAAUCAAAGUAAUAUCUAGGGUUAAAACUAGAAAGUAACAAAAAUGGUGGAUAAAAUAUGAUGUAUUGGAUGACUAGACGAGGAGGCAAAAGCUGCCAGUGGAGUUGAUCGACCAUGAUUUUGAUCGGGCACAAUUCAUGCGCCGCAUAGAUUCUAGGUUAAUUGAGAGGCUAGACCAUGGUCUUGCCUCCUGCGGUGCAUCUGUUCUGAUAGUUUUGAAAGUUGAAGUACUUAAAUUAUCAAUGGACAAUAGUUCCUGUACUGUUUCUAAAAUUUUCCCCAAGUAAUUAAGAUGUUCAAGUGUCAGAAACAUGGUUUGUUCUGCUAGAAAUCAUGAAUUUAUUAAAUGUAAAAUGCUUAAAACAGUAAAGGAGAGGAAGAAUGCUAUGGAGGCUACAUUGUGUCUAACUUGAUUGAGAGAGAAUGAGGUUACAACAAUACAUAUAUAUAGUUAACACCCCCCCAACCUAGCAUAUAGUUAACCCCCCUCAACCAUAUGCUUGGUAUACAACAAGCAUAAUGGUUGAAAAAGACAUGACUAUAGCCUAUUACAAGAUAACACCCAAUUCAUAAACCCACAUGAUAUGAUAAAGACUAGCCUCCAUCUUGAUUUGCAGCAGAUUUACAAAAGAGGAUAGACAGCUUGCUAGAAGAAUCUCAUAGUUCACAUGGUGAGAGCAAAGGCAGUAGAGCAGCAAUAUGUAAUGCAACUUCAGCAGCAUAGCAGCAAUAAAAUAAACUGAAAAAUCUCUUCAAAUUUGACUAAAUUCUGAUAUAGAGAAAGACUGAAAACUGCAUAUGACUGCCACAAAUUUUCUGAUAUUCAUUUGCACACUUCCAGCAACCAUGGAAAAGCACCACCAAGAAUUUUCCCUUAAUCUGAAACUCCAUAUGCACUCCAGCAGCUCAUAACCAACUGAACUCCUCUCUACACUUCUAAUUAAUUAACUCCAACGGAAGUAAACUAAAUCAACCAUUGGCAGUGUAAUCACACAUGUCUUGAACAAACUACUGCAAAGUUCUCUGAUGCAAACACCAACUAAAUGCAACUAAAACCAAAUGACAGAGAAACCAGAAAUAUCUUCAUCAAAUUCAGACAUGCACUGCACACUAAAGUCAUAGAACUAAUCAGUAAUCCAAAUCAUCAAUGCAAACACCAACUAAAUGCAACUAAAACCAAAUGACAGAGAAACCAGAAAUAUCUUCAUCAAAUUCAGACAUGCACUGCACACUAGAGUCAUAGAACUAAUCAGUAAUCCAAAUCAUCAAGCCGUGCUCACCAGUCCACAAACAAAAAGAUAUAAACUGCUUCGUCACCUUUUUCUCUUGGUUGACGGCAAACGUACUUUGAUAAAGAAAAAUAAAACUGGAAAACUGAUGAAUUGAAGCACAAUAAUUGAGAUCACAGACGGAUUUCAUGAGUCAAGCGAGAGAGUUGACUGAAUCAGAAAAGAGCUCUCCAAUGUCUAUGUAAUUUGAGUGAAGCAUGAUAAAGGAGUGCAACAUCAUAAUAGGAACACAGUAUAGCACUCAAACUACUGAUCUCCAAUCUCAGUAUAUUCACCUCAUAAUCUUUGUUCAUCCUGCUCUACUCUCACAUAAUAAGCAGUAAGUUCCCUUCUAAGAAGCAUAAUUAAUCACCAUAUCAUCACUUACUGAACAUCAAUUCUAGAUAGUAAACACCACCUAUUCUUCAAUUCUAGAUAGUAAACAUCUCCCAAAAUAGGCACAACUAGCAUAUGAAGCCACACAAUCAAGUUGCAAACCAAGUCAUCUAGCCAGAAUCACCAGUCCAAAAGAAACAAGAAAAUUCUUCUUCAAACUUUAAACUUCAACUUAAACUUCAAUUAACAAAUGCAACGGACAAAUGAUGAUACUAGGCAGAGUAAUCGAGAUCACAACCUUGAUAGCAUGAUUCCGACAGAUAGAGAUGACCAAAUCGAAAAGAGAUUACCAUAAGAAGCUGAAAUCUGAAGAUUUUGAUGUUUGCUGAUGGGAGUGAUGCAGACCAAUUCGAAAACCAUAUACUUCCCAAACCACCUCGCGAUUAAUCACCUUUGAAGAACAAGAAGAAGCUCAGACCUCGAAGCUAUCACUGUCGAGGCCAUAACUUUCGGCACCCGAAAUGAACACAGACUCGACCUCAAUCGGAGGAGAACAGGUCGAGGAUGGAAGGCGACUAAUCGGGCCUUGCCGGUGACGAAUAACGACUGGGCUUCACUGAUUAAAGACCGAGGAGAAGGAAUUGACUGAAAUUGGGCUAGGGUUUCUGAAAUUGGGGGAAAAUCAAAUUGAAAACGAAAGAAAUUGAUAACAGCGAAAGCUAAAGAUAGAUGAAAGCAUGAAGUCCACAGGAUCAAGAGCCGAGGCUCUGAUACCAUGCUAGAAAUCAUGGAUUUAUUGAACGUAAAAUGCUGAAAACAGUAAAAGAGAGGAAGAAUGUUAUGGAGGCUACAUUGUGUCUAACUUGAUUGAGAGAGAAUGAGGUUACAACAAUACAUAUAGGGCUUAGAAUAUAGAAUGAUGUAAAUGCCCUUGCGACUUAAUUGUCAUAAACCUAGCGUAUAGACAUAUCAUGGCACUUGUAGAAUAUGCUAAACGAGUCUAAUUAGUUGAGCACUUGAGCAUAUGGACAUAUCAUGGCUCUGUAAGUUUGGAAACCUGAUAAACUCUUUGAGCCCUAUCUGAGGGUUGCGACUUAAUUGUCAUAAACCUAGCGUAUAGACAUAUCAUGGCACUUGUAGAAUAUGCUAAACGAGUCUAAUUAGUUGAGCACUUGAGCAUAUGGACAUAUCAUGGCUCUGUAAGUUUGGAAACCUGAUAAACUCUUUGAGCCCUAUCUGAGGGUAUGCUCAGUCAUAUGUGAUAUGUUUUUUUUUUUCAUACUCAACAUGGCUAGUUGGAAAGGUUUUUCUCAGUAUAGGUCUACCAAGAAACUUCCAUGACUAGCUAGCUUGUGUUAUCCAUGAGAAAGAAACGGCUUUCUUUAUGUUUAAGGAAGAUGGAAAUUGUAUAAUGU